UACGAAGGGGGCUAGCGUUGUUCGGAAUUACUGGGCGUAAAGCGUGCGCAGGCGGCCAUCCAAGUCAGUGGUGAAAGCCCGGAGCUCAACUCCGGAAUUGCCAUUGAAACUGUUUGGCUCGAGUACGAGAGAGGUGAGUGGAAUUCCCAGUGUAGAGGUGAAAUUCGUAGAUAUUGGGAAGAACACCGGUGGCGAAGGCGGCUCACUGGCUCGUAACUGACGCUCAUGCACGACAGCGUGGGGAU
rnacentral:rRNA from 1 species